CAAUAUUCUUUUGAUCUUUUGUUGUAACCUCCAUAGAUAGAUUCUGAUCCAAAAGCAAGAAGCUAUUGGCUCAUCUCAAAAGGUUUAUGCGAUCACUUGAGCAGUACAAAAGUGCUGCUCUGACCGUGAUGAUCGGUGACAAUCAUUAAUGGAUCCGAAUUGCCCAUCCCCAAUGUGAAAGCAAACCAACACCAAAAUGCUUACAAACAGAGUGUACGACCAAAUAUUACACCCA
rnacentral:lncRNA from 1 species